UACGUAGGGGGCGAGCGUUGUCCGGAUUUACUGGGCGUAAAGGGUGAGUAGGCGGUUAUGUAAGUCAGAUGUAAAAGGCAUAGGCUCAACUUAUGUAAGCAUUUGAAACUGCAUGACUUGAGUGCAGGAGAGGUAAGCGGAAUUCCUAGUGUAGCGGUGAAAUGCGUAGAUAUUAGGAGGAACACCAGUGGCGAAGGCGGCUUACUGGACUGUAACUGACGCUGAGUCACGAAAGCGUGGGUAGCAAACAGGAUUAGAUACCC
rnacentral:rRNA from 1 species